GAAGGAAAAGUUUUGAAUUCCUGAAUGAUUUUGUAGAAAGGCGGCUUAGGAUCAUUAUGUCAGCUUUAUUGAGGGCGGAUUAAGUGGAGUCUAGAUGCUACGCCUUGUACACGGCCCUUUCACAAUGU